GGGUCCAACCUCCCACCCGUGUUUAUUUUACCUUGUUGCUUCGGCGGGCCCGCCUUAACUGGCCGCCGGGGGGCUUACGCCCCCGGGCCCGCGCCCGCCGAAGACACCCUCGAACUCUGUCUGAAGAUUGAAGUCUGAGUGAAAAUAUAAAUUAUUUAAAACUUUCAACAACGGAUCUCUUGGUUCCGGCAUCGAUGAAGAACGCAGCGAAAUGCGAUACGUAAUGUGAAUUGCAAAUUCAGUGAAUCAUCGAGUCUUUGAACGCACAUUGCGCCCCCUGGUAUUCCGGGGGGCAUGCCUGUCCGAGCGUCAUUGCUGCCCUCAAGCCCGGCUUGUGUGUUGGGCCCCGUCCCCCGAUCUCCGGGGGACGGGCCCGAAAGGCAGCGGCGGCACCGCGUCCGGUCCUCGAGCGUAUGGGGCUUUGUCACCCGCUCUGUAGGCCCGGCCGGCGCUUGCCGAUCAACCCAAAUUUUUAUCCAGGUUGACCUCGGAUCAGGUAGGGAUACCCGCUGAACUUAAGCAUAUCAAUAAGCGGAGGA
rnacentral:rRNA from 1 species